CGAUAGCCCUAGUUAGGCUUGGAAUUGGUGUUUGUGCUAGUUAUGAAAGUUGUAGAGCUUGAUGAGAGGAAGAUGCUGUUAAAAUUUCAUAGGUUUUGGAGGUCGCCGGAAUUGACCUCCGGCCGCCGCUGCCGGCGGAGCCGCUGGCGGCGCCGCCGCCGGUUGGGAGAUUUUAAUGUUGUUAAAUUUGGAAUAUUAAGGGGAGUUUAUUGAAGUGAGUUAUGGAAUUUUUGGAUGAGUUUUGUAUAGGUUUAUGAAUUUCCGAAGUGUGGUAUUUUUGGCGGUUAAUUAAUGUAGAAUCCGGCCGUAGGAUUUAAGUCGUAUUUUGGGGAGGUUGUAUUUACGACUGUUGAGUAUGAUAUUUAAGUUCGGAUUGUUCCGAUGUAAGAAUAUCGAAGUUAGGCAAUAAUGAGCGUAAUUAUGGCUCUCGGGUAAUUUUGCCUAUUUUGAUUAAAUAUUGGAUAUUGGUUGGGAAAUUAAUAUUAUAUUUGGAACAGGACGUGAAGAGGCUCGAGCAGACGAGACCCCAGAUUGACAUCAGGCUUAAGCCUAAUUCGUGAGUGGACUUUUGUUUUAAAUAAUAUGCAUGCUAUGGUUCAUGGUCGAAUAUUUAAAUUGUUGGAGUUUAGACGUCAUUUAAUUUUGACGCUUUUAUUUCUCUUGGAGAGUUACCGAAAAAUGAGAUUUUUCGGUGAGUAUAAAUAUGUAUAUUGAGGAGAGUAUGUAUAUAAAUGCUAGCUAGCCAUAUGUGUCUGUCCACCUUAAUGGCGUAGCAUACAGCCGCAUUAUGGUGUGACGUGAGCGUUGGACGCGAGCGUAGUAGCCCUAUAUGAGUGUUUAAUUCAUAUAGGGGGUAUGGGCACAUAUUUAUACACCCGUCUGUCCACCUUAAUGGCGUAGUGUAGCACCGCAUUAAGGCGUGACGUGAGCGUUGGACGCGAGCGUAGUAGCCCUAUAUAGACUCAUGAAUUUAUAUAGGGAGUAUGGACGUGUGUAAAUACAU
rnacentral:lncRNA from 1 species